rnacentral:pre_miRNA from 1 species
UCAGUGAUUUCAGAUUUUAAAGAUGUUUGACAUGUUUAUUGUCACCAAAUAAUAAACUGUAUGACAGCCUUCACACAUCUGAAUUCUGG